rnacentral:rRNA from 1 species
AGUGAACGCUGGCGGUAGGCCUAACACAUGCAAGUCGAACGGCGGCACAGUAAGAGCUUGCUCUUACGGGUGGCGAGUGGCGGACGGGUGAGGAGUACAUCGGAAUCUACUUUUUCGUGGGGGAUAACGUAGGGAAACUUACGCUAAUACCGCAUACGACCUACGGGUGAAAGCAGGGGAUCUUCGGACCUUGCGCGAUUGAAUGAGCCGAUGUCGGAUUAGCUAGUUGGCGGGGUAAAGGCCCACCAAGGCGACGAUCCGUAGCUGGUCUGAGAGGAUGAUCAGCCACACUGGAACUGAGACACGGUCCAGACUCCUACGGGAGGCAGCAGUGGGGAAUAUUGGACAAAGGGCGCAAGCCUGAUCCAGCCAUACCGCGUGGGUGAAGAAGGCCUUCGGGUUGUAAAGCCCUUUUGUUGGGAAAGAAAAGCAGCAGGUUAAUACCCCGCUGUUCUGACGGUACCCAAAGAAUAAGCACCGGCUAACUUCGUG